AACGCGAAGAACCUUACCUAGGCUUGACAUGCAUCUCUAAGCGCGUGAAAGCGCGUGACCCUUCGGGGCCGCUGAACAGGUGCUGCAUGGCUGUCGUCAGCUCGUGCCGUGAGGUGUUGGGUUAAGUCCCGCAACGAGCGCAACCCUUAUCGUUAGUUGCCAACGGGUAAUGCUGGGAACUCUAGCGAGACUGCCUGGGUUAACCAGGAGGAAGGUGAGGAUGACGUCAAGUCCGCAUGGCCCUUAUGUCUGGGGCUACACACGUGCUACAAUGGUCGGUACAGAAGGCAGCGAAAUCGCGAGGUGAAGCAAAUCCCAAAAGCCGACCCCAGUUCAGAUUGUAGUCUGCAACUCGACUACAUGAAGAUGGAAUUGCUAGUAAUGGCGAGUCAGCAACAUCGCCGUGAAUACGUUCCCGGGUCUUGUACACACCG
rnacentral:rRNA from 1 species